AAGGAAAGAAAGGAAAAAAAGCUAUGAAGUUCUAACAGAUCCUUUCUUUCUUUCCCUUUUUUUUUUAACUUCACAAAGAAAUGGUCAUAACAAUAAAUGAAUCCUUGAAAGAGAAAGACAAAGAGGGAAAAAGAGAGAAAGAAAACCAGUUUUCUAACUGAUGUUUUCAGGGUUUUUUUUUCUUUUCUUUUUUUUUUUUUUGUUCUCGAGAAUCAAAAAGAGUGCAUGAAAACAAAAGAAAAAAGAACAACCCAGAAGAGAGAAAACUGACCAGAAAUGCCGGCAGUGCAGUAAACAAGGAUAAAGAUCAUGCCACCAAAAGACCAAGCAAUGCCCAGAAUGCCAACACCACCGCAUGGGUCACCCCCGGCAGUCUGGCUCUUGUAGCCGAUGACUGUCAGCACCGUAAUGUAAAGGAAGAGCAGCGUGGCAAUGAACUCCGCAAUCAGAGCCCUGUAGAAGGACCACUUAGUGAGCUCAACUGAGUCGAACAGCGGCGCCGGCGGCGGGUCAUGAUAGUCCUUGGCGGAGAAGGACCCAUGCUCCGCAACCUCAACGUCCUUAGUCAUAAAUGUUAUAGCAGAAAAACACUAGGCAAAGAGAAGAGCUAGGGGGGUUCAGGAGAAGGUAGGUGAAGGUGGGAGAAGUUGAGAGUAGAGCGUGGAGACUGAGAGGAAGGGAAGGGCCGUAUUUAUGGGGAAGAAAGAGGAGUGUUGAGGUGGAAUUGGGCUGGGCUGCCUUCUUGUUCACUGUAACCCCUCUGCAAUGGUAA
rnacentral:lncRNA from 1 species